CUUAACUUUUCUUUUGGCCUUUUUUUAAUUCAUAAAAUUAUGUCCAAAUUUUUCUCCCCGGAAAGAAGCAUACUUCAACUUGCAAUUCGGAAAUUGGGUAUCCGAUUCUGUCGUCAACCUUAAGCUGUUAGUGAAGUGUUUUGGGUCGUUGGGGUUUAUGAUUGACCCAAUAACUACUAUCCUGGGAUCAUUGGACAACAUGACCUAUGCUUUCGAAUCCUCAUCCGAGAUGGAGAAAUUCCUCUUCGAAUGGUGGCUCGACCCGACCUGCCAAUCUCGGAGCGCGUCCGAGCACUUUGCUCUCUUCGCAACCUCAAUGGUCCAGGCCCUCGGAACGCCCUGCUAAGUGGUUCGUUCACUCUCAACCUUUUAUUUUUUCCUGUGCUGAUUGUCGUUCACUCGCAGCUAUCCUGCUUUGGAAGUAGUUUUGAAUGAUUUUUCUUUGCAUUCAAUUGUUCGUCAGGAGGCAAAUUUCCAUCGUUCCUUUUCCCCUCUUCUUUUUUUUUUUUUUUGGGUACUGUUUUUUAUAUGUUUUAUUUUUUAAGUAAUAGGCAGCAGAAGCGCUGGGGCCAAUUGGUUUAGAUGGCAAUAUUCCUUUGUUAAAGAAUAGUUUAGUUUUAGAUCCAUUGGAGGAAGUUUGAGAGACAUGUGAACUGGCACUACGCGAAUUGAGGAAUUAAAGACUGCUGGUGUUGACAAUGAAUCAUCUGCUGUAAAAAGAUCAGCUUUCUUGUCUGUUGACCCAGCUGCACCAAAUUCAUCAUGUGCUUCUGUUGAUGAGUUGAGGUCUGUUUUGUCAUAAGAAAUUGAUAGAUAUAUUUUAAAAAUCUUGUUUAAUGGUUACUUUGCUGACUGAUUUUCUUUGGUGUUAAGAUAAGUUAUUCUGAAUGAAGCAAUAGGCAUGUAUGAACGAUAUGCAGCACUUUUUGCUCUUUGCAACAAUGGUGGAGAUGAAGCUUUUUCUGCUUAAAUUGAUUGUUUGGGUGCAAAAAGUGUUCUGCUGAAGCAUGAGGUUUGUCAAGUUUAAUCUAAUCUGUGCUACUUCAAGGCCGUGCCAGUGUUCCUGUGGGUAGAUGUAAAAUUGUAAUUAUUGGCAUGUACUGAAUGUGGAUGGAGAUAUAUUGGUGCUAGAUGAAAAUGUUCUAUUGAGAAACAAACUUUUUGGUGGAAGUUAACUAGAGAGUGUUAAUUUGAAACAUGCCUUGCUUCUGUGUUGGGCGAAUUGCAAAACAAAGUUGCUUCAGCUGCCCUUAGAAAGGGAUGCAGAUGAGCAUCCCAUGGUCUGACAUGAAGCUGGUGAUGCUUUUGGUUCCAUUGCAGCAUAAGUUCUAAAUCUCUUGACAACAAAUAUUAUCAAGGAAAAAACUUGAUUUUCCUUCUGUUUGAUGGAGGGUGUCUGGUUAGGAUGAUGGACAUCACAUGCUUAUUAAGACUGAAGUCCAACUGGGCAGGAUGCUUGGUGAUACUCUGUUCUAGUUAACUGUGACAGCUUACGGUAAUAACUAUCUUACUGCAUGUGUAUUGUGAAUUACAGUUUUGGUGCAUUUAUUACAGGACACUUUUUAUUUUGAAUGAAACUUGUAUUAGCAGAUGAAAAAUUUUUGCCUCUAUGAUAAACUGUCCUUCCCGGUAAUUUUAUCUCCACUGAACCAUUCUCUUUUCUGUGCAUGUGCUUAAAAAAAUUGUGCUUCUUAUUGAACGUCAGCCAUUUUCCUUGUUCUGAUAUAUUGUUAAAUUUUCUUACGGGUCUAUUAUAUAGAUGAGCACAGUGUAGCACUUCUGGAGGAGUUUGCUGGGGAUCCUGAACCUAUUGUUUCACAGAGCUGUGAAGUUGCUCUUACCAUGCUGGAAUAUGAACAAUUGGGAAAGUCAUUCGAGUACCUCUUCAUGCAGACCCUUGUGAUGCAAUUGUGAUCUCUGUGGCAUUUAUUCAAUAUAGAAAUUGAGAUGAAAGAUCAUAUUUUUAUUAUUGUACAAUCGAUAAUCUGCAAGAGAUGAAAAGCAGAAGAGGAAGUAUACAUGAACACUUGACUUCUUACAAUUUUGUUCCAGUAAUGUAUUAUGCUGCAAACCGUAUAAGUUUAGUCGGGGGCAUAAGCUGGACUAUGGCUGUCAUUUUAAUUGGAAAAAAAGAAAAAAAUCUUGUUCAGGUUUCUGUAUUAGUCCUUGACAUUAGCCAACAAAGAAGUUGAGGAGAUAAAUUCCCAAAGGAGAAAGUAUGUUGACCUUGUCACUGUAAAUCCUGACGGGAAAAAUCCUCACCAUUUGUAUAAUUGGUCAGAACUUAAGUGUAGAAUAUUAUUAUAGAAAUGAAUGAAGGACUUCUGUUGGUAAAUUCAAAUAA